UAGUGGCGAACGGGUGAGUAACACGUGGGCAAUCUGCCCUUCACUCUGGGACAAGCCCUGGAAACGGGGUCUAAUACCGGAUAACACUGCGGAUCGCAUGGUCUGCGGUUAAAAGCUCCGGCGGUGAAGGAUGAGCCCGCGGCCUAUCAGCUUGNUGGUGAGGUAGUGGCUCACCAAGGCGACGACGGGUAGCCGGCCUGAGAGGGCGACCGGCCACACUGGGACUGAGACACGGCCCAGACUCCUACGGGAGGCAGCAGUGGGGAAUAUUGCACAAUGGGCGAAAGCCUGAUGCAGCGACGCCGCGUGAGGGAUGACGGCCUUCGGGUUGNAAACCUCUUUCAGCAGGGAAGAAGCGAAAGUGACGGUACCUGCAGAAGAAGCGCCGGCUAACUACGUGCCAGCAGCCGCGGUAAUACGUAGGGCGCAAGCGUUGUCCGGAAUUAUUGGGCGUAAAGAGCUCGUAGGCGGCUUGUCACGUCGAUUGUGAAAGCCCGAGGCUUAACCUCGGGUCUGCAGUCGAUACGGGCUAGCUAGAGUGUGGUAGGGGAGAUCGGAAUUCCU
rnacentral:rRNA from 1 species